rnacentral:tRNA from 1 species
GCGUGCACAGAUGUCCGGUUUCCCACCCUUCACACGGGUGGGGUCGCAGGUUCAAUCCCUGCAUCGCCCACCA